CCAAAGUCGCGGGCUGCGGUAGGUCGUGCCACACGGGGGCGCCACGAUCGCAGUCGAACAUUUCCCGCCACGCGACCUCACACACAUUUUCUUUGAAAAUUCGUGUAAUUGCAAAGAAAAAAGUGAAUCUACGCGCUUUCGGUGAUUUCGGCGUGUGCGUUGUGAUUGAUGUUUUACAUAUCUGACUCUAUUUUUUUACACCAAUUUUCUGUACAAUUAGUAGAGUUACGAACGUGAUCGCACUAGUGAAACGAAAAUUUCGGCGUUUCAAGUAGUAAGGAUUGCGUGCGCCGCUUGCGGGACUGAACUUACAGAUAUAACGACACCGUUCAUGUCACAAGCAGGGGAUAAAAUCGAUAGAUCAAUACAACCGAUGAUAUUACUGACCGAAUCGGUUAUCGAAUAUUAUUUACUAGAUAUAAGAGUAAUGAGAAUCCGUCCAAACUAAGAUAUAUUCGAGUAUUUUAUAACAGUAUUUUAAGUAGAUAUCAAUGAGCGGGUUAAGUUCGCGAGAUAGUAUAUCAAGAAUCAUGGCGUUCAAUUUGAGGAGUCUCAGGAUACUGGCUGUGGUGGCGCUGGUGUUCGUCUCUCGGAAUAGUGCUGCUCCGGCCUUCGGAGAAACCGACAAGGCUAUGGUUAACGACGAUGCCUACUUUCAGAUGUACCUGGCGCAAUAUGGGUACCUGAGUCCUUCAGUACGGAACCCUUCCAGCGGUCACAUCAUGGACGAAUCAUCGUGGAAGCGAGCCAUUAUGGAGUUCCAGAGCUUCGCUGGACUUAAUACCACGGGCGAGUUGGACGAGGAGACGACCAAAGUGAUGUCACUGCCGAGGUGUGGUGUCAGAGAUAAGGUGGGCUUCGGGGAGACUCGUGCCAAGAGAUACGCGCUCCAAGGUUCAAGAUGGCGCGUGAAGAACCUGACGUACAAAAUCGCCAAGUACCCAUCAAGACUGAACCGCGCCGAGGUGGACGCUGAGCUCGCUAAGGCCUUCUCCGUAUGGUCCGACUACACGGACCUCACCUUCACGCAGAAAAGGACCGGACAAGUCCACAUUGAAAUUAGGUUUGAAAAGGGAGAGCAUGGAGAUGGUGAUCCGUUCGAUGGGCCCGGUGGUACUCUUGCGCAUGCAUAUUUCCCGGUAUACGGAGGUGAUGCUCACUUCGACGAUGCAGAGAUGUGGUCUAUCAAUUCGAGGAGGGGAACCAAUCUUUUCCAGGUAGCGGCGCAUGAGUUCGGGCACUCGCUAGGUCUGUCCCACAGCGACGUGAGGUCUGCACUGAUGGCUCCCUUCUACCGCGGCUACGACCCUGCCUUCCAACUUGACCAGGAUGAUGUCCAGGGCAUUCAGGCGCUAUACGGGCGGAAGACCCAAACGGACAUCGGUGGUGGAGGCGCCAGCGUACCAUCUGUGCCGCGCGCCACCACGCAGCAACCCUCGGCUGAAGACCCCGCGCUCUGUGCCGACCCCAACAUUGAUACCAUUUUCAAUUCCGCUGACGGUGCCACAUUUAUCUUCAAAGGCGAGCACUAUUGGAGGCUGACAGAGGACGGCGUUGCGGCCGGAUACCCCCGCCUCAUCUCCCGCGCCUGGCCUGGCCUCCCCGGCAACAUCGAUGCAGCUUUCACCUACAAGAACGGCAAGACCUACUUCUUCAAGGGGUCCAAGUACUGGAGGUACAAUGGACAGAAGAUGGACGGCGAGUAUCCUAAGGAAAUCAGUGAAGGCUUCACGGGCAUCCCAGACAACUUAGACGCCGCUUUGGUCUGGUCUGGCAACGGCAAGAUCUACUUCUACAAAGGCUCUAAGUUCUGGAGGUUCGACCCGGCGCAAAGGCCACCGGUCAAGGGCACAUACCCUAAACCUCUGUCGAACUGGGAAGGCAUUCCUGAUAACAUUGAUGCAGCUCUCCAAUAUACUAAUGGAUAUACAUACUUCUUUAAGGGAGGCUCCUACUGGCGGUUUAAUGAUAGAACUUUCAGUGUGGACACAGACAACCCAGCGUUCCCGCGUUCGACGGCGUACUGGUGGUUGGGCUGCACCAGUGCUCCGAAAGGCACCGUCGGAGGUGUAAAAUCAUCCGCUCCCAGAUCAUUCUUCUGGUUCAGGAAAUAGCCUCGGUGGAGAGUUCCUGAACAUUGUACAUAAAGAAAUUGCAUAAAGAACAAAGACUCAAUUAGUAACAUAGGAGAAUAUAUGCGAAUACCAGUGAGAUUAUAGACAUAAGCGGUGAUUUUAGUACCGGCGAGCUUAUCACGCGCUGCCUUGGUCAACGUCCAGUCGGGGGGGGCUAGACUGUAGAGGGAAGUGCGGCGAAGAGCCGCAUCGGUAUGUUAGGAGGACCGCGUCCUCCGCCGCGACACCGCUCACGCGCCUCUAUGCCGCGGAGACGUCUGG
rnacentral:misc_RNA from 1 species